rnacentral:rRNA from 1 species
UACAGAGGGUGCGAGCGUUAAUCGGAAUUACUGGGCGUAAAGCGUGCGUAGACGGUUAUGUAGGUCGGAUGUGAAAGCCCCGGGCUCAACCUGGGAAUUGCAUUCGAGACUGCAUGGCUAGGAUGCGGAAGAGGGAAGCGGAAUUUCCGGUGUAGCGGUGAAAUGCGUAGAUAUCGGAAGGAACACCAGUGGCGAAAGCGGCUUCCUGGUCCAGCAUCGACGUUCAGGCACGAAAGCGUGGGGAGCAAACAGG